CUUUUUAGUGUCGGUCAGUUUUGGGGUAAAUUGAACUUUCGAGUACCACUCUUCAUAUUAAGUGUCCGAGACAUCGUCAUCAUGGUGGUUUACCUUCACGUCACCAUCCUCGCCUUCCUUCCCUAGGCUUAAGUGUCGUCGCCGUCAUCAAGGUUUCUGGGUUCGAAAACCUCCUCUUUUCGUUUGUCACGUAACGUCGACGUCGGUCUCUCUCUCUCUCUCGUCUCGUCACGAGUGAGAUGGUCAUUUUUUUAUUCAUGAGGACGAGGUUUUCUCUCUCGUCGCCGACGUCGUCUCUUCGUCUCUCCUCUUUUCGUCCUCUCUCUCUCUCCCUCUCCCCUGUCCACUCUGCCCUGUCGCCGUGGGUAUCGUUUGUGUCGAGGCACCUCUGGGUCUAGCCGCGCCGAGGAGCGAGCGACAGGUCGCCAUUUUUCCUCGUCUAAGUAGCGUCUAUCUAUCUAUCUAAUCCCCCUCCUUCCUUUGUUGACCCGCGUUGUCGCUGCCGGCUCUACACCACUUUCUCUCUCGACGAGGACGGACGGACCCCUUUCUUUCUCUCUCUCUCUCUCUCAUCUCGUUCCUUUUUGUAGUGUUCUUUUCGUACGUGUUUGCUCCUCCUCCUCCGCUGGUCAUCGGUCGGGGACUAAGGCGCAGGUCAGGUCAGGUCAGGUCAGGUCCCUCCCCCGCCUAGUACCGGCGGCAGUACCUAAACCUAGAGUUGACGCGCGGCGGCAGCGGCCUCGGCCGCGGGGUCCUGGUGGCGGAGCGGGUGCGUUACGAGGCGGUUCUUGUGCGGAUGGCGGUGGUCCACCUCCUGGACGUGUCCGACAUAACCCGCGUCUCCUUAGAGGCCGGCCUACGGGGGAAGACCCUCGUUAGGGUGCUGCAGGAGAUGGGGUAAGGGUGGGCAAGGUGCCGGUACCGGUGAAGGAGGGCUAGGGUGUAGGUGUGCUAACUAGGCCUAGGCAGUCCUCCGUUCGUCCGGUAGACCACACCGUUACCCCAGCGUCCCUCAAACCCACGACCCCUCCCAAGAAGACGGUCCUCCUUUGGACUGGUACCACCACCACACGUCCCCUCCAGCAGACCAAUAGCGGCAUACUAGCUAGAUCUCUUCGGCCGCUACAGGCUCCUGCUGCUGCUACUACUACUACACCUCUAGAACAGAGGACGAGCCAAGUCACUGAUACGGUUCGCGUCACGACCCAAACACCUAUUAAGGGUCACAAUAGUCUCCCUUUUACGACGACGGGUACAGGCAAAACCAAGUUGACCUAGAUCGCUAUGGGGUCUGUCAGUAAGUGGUCAGUUUCGUUUCCGAUGACGUAGACCGGCGUACGAAUAGCUGGACUUAUAUCGAGUUCUUCUACUAAAUUUACAAACGGGACUAAGAAGGUUUUUGCACAAGACAAGAGAAAACCGAUCAAGUUCUUGUUACGUUAGUCCUCUUCCAACGUCGUUGAGGUCGUUUCGUAAGGUGUAGCCUCCACUUAGAUCGUAACCUAGGAGUUUUCCCAGAAGCUAGUGUCAACGCCGUAGUUACGGCCGGGGUCUGUCGUGUUCCCCUCACUACCGGUCUCCUCCAUAAACACUGGGUGUCUCGUCAAGAUUCGGAAAGGCACACCUCCGAAGUUUAGUACUGCACGCAGAGUCUCCUUUAUAGGUCGUGGUUGUAUGCGAUCUAUUACAGAGACCUUACUCAAGAGUCCGGAGAUACCUUUAAGGUGCACUUCUCUACAGUCAAUCCCGCUCGCCAGCUGUAAGAAGAAGAAGAAGUCUAAAUGCUUUUUAUCCUCCUGUUUGUCGACACAUAUCCCUCACGGUUCUCCUCUCAGAUCGUCAUUAGACACUACUACUUUACCUCCCAAAACUGAACUUACACAGUCAACCUUCGUAGCUCGAGGGUAGCUACUACCUAUCGUCAGGGUCUCUCUUUGUACGUUCAUCAUCACUACCACAACUGUUCGAAGAUUCAGUAAUGAAAUGACUCCUAUUCCAGGUCCUUUUGUAAAGAAGGGAACUUACAGGUUGACAGUAUCUGGUUGUUGUGUACCGACUCUCAUACCUACCAUUUUCACAUGCCAGCGGUCUGAGACCUCAACGUUGUUUGUCCAGCUACAGCUAAGGUCUUUGAGGAGUUCCAGCACUGAUGCGAACAGGUUCUAACUCUGGUAGUUCAUUGCCUCUUAGUUUAAGAUACUUGCGCGGGUAGUGUAUAGUUCAACACCGUCUUCUACUCGAUGAUCGCAGGUGUCGUCGAGUCUGUGAGCAAAGGAAUAAGUGCCUAUCGCGACGCACCUAGUGUCUGUCGGUGACGUCGUUGUUGGUCCGUCUACGAGUCCUACCUCCGCUACUUGGCGUCCAGAGCGACCUGAGAAAGCUCCUUCCGCACUACUUGGAUCUCCGAGACUCUCUGCUGCCACUAAGUCGGUGGCACUGUCGCGGCCUGUUCCUGCCCGGAAGCACACCCUAGUUCGACUCCUCUCCCUCCCCCUACUCUCUGAAGGUCUCCCUCUAUAACGGGCCCGACCAGAGGGAGCGCUCCGUGCUCUAUACGCUGCUGAACGUACGAUAUCCCAGGUCCCUGUUCAUGCCGGGCAGCUGGGCCAGUUCCGACGGAGCCGCAACGAGGUUACGUACCUUGAUGACU
rnacentral:rRNA from 1 species